rnacentral:lncRNA from 1 species
CAGCCUAGGCCACAGAGCGAGACUCCGUCUCAAAAAAAUAAAAGGAUCAUUCAGGUAAAGCAGAUAAGAAUCACCAAUACCUUGAGGUGGAAGCACGCCUGACAUGGUUGAGAAACAACAGAGAAGCCGGCGUCCUGAGUGCGUUUCCAUAGUAAUGAUCAAAUCAAAGAAAUAUAGAAAACACCUAACAUUGCUGGAAACUGAAGAGGUGUUCAACUCAUUUAUCCGACCUUGAAGCCAGUAGAGUGCAGGAGACAUCUGAGUGUUGUCAAGGAUCAACAAAUCUGGAUACUAGUUAAUGUGACGAAAUUUCGCUCUUGUUGCCCAGGCUGGUGUGCAAAUGGCACGAUCUCGGCUCACCACAACCUCCGCCUCCCGGGUUCAAGCGAUUCUCCUGCCUCAGCCUCCUGAAUGCCGUGAACCUAGCAAUGAGUGAGGAAAAGGAAUCUUUCACCCCUACAAAGGGAUACCAUGGAAUUUCUCAAACAGUGAAUACAUUGGCUCCAGGAAAAAGGGUCGACCUCUUAAAUAGAAAUAGAGAACUAGAGAACAAUAAUGAGGGGAGUACCUUGCAGUCAGUAAUAAGAAGCUGUCUUUACUAUCAAAUCAGACCUCCAGUGGGAGAGUUUUUCCCUAUAGUGACUUUGACUGUCACCCUGUGUUUAAUCACAAUCCUAUGAAAACAGUUAACUCUCUAAGUGGUCAAAGAAAUUUUUCAAUAAACAUAAACUUUAGUCUAAUUCUCAUUAUUCUCCUUUUUUGUCUCUUUGUCUAAAAUAAAGCAAUUAAACAUUAAUUAUGCAAAUCAUUGACAAACUAGAAAAACAAUACCCUUCGUAUUUCAAGACAGUGGGAGAGAUAGGCUGGGUAUUCAGAGAAAAAUACCCCUCAUUAAAUGUUAAUGCAAGAAACAGGUGGAAGGCCGAGCAUGGUGGCUCAGGCCUGUAAUUCCUACACUUUGGGAGGCUGAGGCAGGUGGAUCACCUGAGGUCAGCAGUUUGAGAUCAGUCUGGCAAACAUGAUGGAACCCCAUCUCUACUAAAAAUAUAAAAAAUUAGCUGGGUGGGGUGGCAGGUGCCUUUAAUCCCAG